GUAGAAUGAUGCUGGUAUAUGUUCU
rnacentral:piRNA from 1 species